CUUUGGUGGCGACCGGCGCACGGGUGCGUAACGCGUAUGUAACCUACCUAUAACAGGGGCAUAACACAGAGAAAUUGGUACUAAUUCCCCAUAAUAUUCGGAGAGGCAUCUCUCCGGGUUGAAAACUCCGGUGGUUAUAGAUGGACAUGCGUUGUAUUAGCUAGUUGGUGAGGUAACGGCUCACCAAGGCAACGAUACAUAGGGGGACUGAGAGGUUAACCCCCCACACUGGUACUGAGACACGGACCAGACUCCUACGGGAGGCAGCAUG
rnacentral:rRNA from 1 species